rnacentral:rRNA from 1 species
GACGAACGCUGGCGGCGUGCCUAAUACAUGCAAGUAGAACGCAGUUGCGAACGGGUGAGUAACGCGUAGGUAAUGGCCUCAUAGCGGGGGAUAACUAUUGGAACCGAAAGCCAAUACCCCAUACCGUGAGAUGGACCUGCUUUGGAUUAGCUAGUUGGGGGGGUAAAGGCUCACCAAGGCGACGAUACAUAGCCAACCUGAGAGGGUGAACGGCCACACUUGGACUAAGACACGGGCCAGACUCCUACGGGAGGAAGCAGUAGGGAAUCUUCGGCAAUGGACGGAGGUCUGGCCGAACAACGCCGCGGGAGUUGAGAAGGUUUUCGGAACGUUAAGCUCUGUUGUUGGAGAAGCGGUAACUAACCAGAAAGGGACGGCUAACUGCGUGCCAGCAGCCGCGGUAAUAC